rnacentral:lncRNA from 1 species
GGCUGACGUGGCCUCAGCACAGGACAUGUUUUAGCAUAGCUGAGCUGCUGUAGUGUUACUGUUGCUGUUAGACGUGCUUUGAGGUAGCUGAGACUGUUUGCAGCGUUAUUGAAAUGAAGUGGAAAUGAGUUGAGUGUGUUUUUUGUGUAGGUCCUGGAUAAGAAAAUGAUCCAGCUACCCAGUGAGAGAAGUGUAGAGUGAAUCAGCAGUGAUGCAGGCCCUGUGUGCGAUGAUAAAUCACAGAAGCUCGACAGCCAGCGUCGGUACACACAGCAGCUGACCCUCAGGCGUUUGCAGUGUCGGUCCUCUGAGGGUCAGACGGAGGGACCUGAAUGGACCAUGGUCUGCUGCCUGUGGAGAUGAAGGUGGAGGAGAAGCUGGAGGUGAAGGUGGAGCUGCUGAAGUUCUGCUUGGCAGUCUUUAACACCGUGUUUCUGUUUGUGGGUCUGAGUGCGGCCGGCUGUGCGAUCUGGAUCCUGUUCGACAGAGGAAGCUUCCUGAACUCCCUCCCCUCCGAGGAGCUGCAGGUGGUGUCCGUGGGCCUGCUGGUGAUCGGUGGUGUUGGCGGUCAGCGUGGCAGCGACCUGUGA